GGAUUGUGGCUCAGCGGUAGAGUGAUCACCUAGCACGUGUGAGGCCCUGGGUUCGAGCCUAAGCACCA
rnacentral:tRNA from 1 species